rnacentral:rRNA from 1 species
UAUUCCAGGUUGAUCCGGCCGGAGCCCAUUGCUAUCGGAGUCCGAUUUAGCCAUGCUAGUCGUGCGAGUUCAGACUCGGCGGCACCGAGCUCAGUAACACGUGGCCAAACUACCCUACAGAGACGGAUACCCUCGGGAAACUGAGGUUAACCCGUCAUACCGAUCUCAGGCUUGAAUCGCAGAGAUCACAAAACGCCCCGGCGCUGUAGGAUGUGGCUGCGGUUGAUUAGGUAGACGGUGGGGUAACGGCCCACCGUGCCCAUAAUCAGUACAGGUUGUGAGAGCAAGAACCUGGAGACGGAAUCUGAGACAAGAUUCCGGGCCCUACGGGGCGCAGCAGGCGCGAAACCUUUACACUGCACGCACGUGCGAUAAGGGGACUCCGAGUGCGAGGGGCAUAUCGUCCUCGCUUUUGUGUACCGUAGGGUGGUACACCAACAAGGGCUGGGCAAGACCGGUGCCAGCCGCCGCGGUAAUACCGGCAGCCCGAGUGAUGGCCGAUCUUAUUGGGCCUAAAGCGUCCGUAGCU